CAUUUACACACAGGGUGGAGCUGGGAAACUCCCAAUGAAUGGGGUGGAUCAGAUUCACAGCUUGGGAUUCGUUGAAUUAAAACAAAAAACACCCUCCCCAUUGGUCCGAAUAGAAUAGUAAAGGAAGAAGUUGUGAGAUCUACACGGAAAUCCAGGCAGAACAUACAUGUGAUGGUGAGAACCACGGAAGUUUGGAACGCUUGUCACCAUCAUGGCUGAAGGUGGCGAUUGGGGAGGUGAUGCAGUGACAUCUACAUCCAGGAAACAGGAAGGUGGGAAAUUAAGUAAAGUGGGCAAAUUCUUCAAAAGACUUCAGCCAGGCAUCUCAUCAAAGAAAGAUGGCGAGAACACAGGAACAACGACAGAAAAACAAAGUGGGAUUAAGAGCAGAAUGUCGAUGGAAUGUAAAGCUGCCGAAGAGGAAAGGGAACAAUGUCAGUCCCGAGGGCAAGGAAUAGGAGACGUGGGUCACGGCCCUGGAACUGACCCAAGUGGUGAAAUCCAUCAUGACCGAGAUUCAUCAAACAAGGAAUCAUCGAGUCUCAUCCAAGGAGCAG